UACAGUACAAGAAGUAUAUUACUCUACAUAUAUGAAGUCCUAUGCAAAUACAAACUAGAUAAUAGACUUAUCAACCAAUUGAAUUUCUCUGAUAUUUAUCUCCAGAAUGGGCAUGAAAGCACAUAUUAUAACUGGACCUCACUAGUGGAAAAGCCAGAUAGCAGAACAUGUACGAUUUAUGACUAGAUUGUCCCACGUAUCUAUUC
rnacentral:lncRNA from 1 species